UACGGGGGGGGCAAGCGUUGCUCGGAAUUACUGGGCGUAAAGGGCGCGUAGGCGGGAUGGCAAGUCGGUCGUGAAAUCCCUCGGCUCAACCGAGGAACGUCGAUCGAUACUGCUGUUCUUGAGGAUUGCAGAGGAGACUGGAAUUCCCGGUGUAGCGGUGAAAUGUGUAGAGAUCGGGAGGAACACCGGUGGCGAAGGCGGGUCUCUGGGCAAUUCCUGACGCUGAGGCGCGAAAGCGUGGGGAGCAAACGGG
rnacentral:rRNA from 1 species